CUAACAUUACUUGAACAGGAUAUGUUCUAUAGGCUCGUACUACUGUAUCCUUGAGCUCUAGGGACACAGGUAAACCAUGUCCGGUGGAUGAAUUGUGGCCAUGAGACUAGAGCGUGAUUAACAGCCCCCAUUGUCCGCUGGGUGAUGAACUAGUAGAGGAUCGUUCUCAGCGUAGUUCGCUGGGGCUAGAGAUGGUCUCGUGUCUAUCGACAA